rnacentral:tRNA from 1 species
GCGUCCGUAGCUCAGCUGGAUAGAGUACCUGGCUACGAACCAGGCGGUCAGAGGUUCGAAUCCUCUCGGACGC